GGGGAUUUAGCUCAGCGGCAUAAGUGCCUGCCUUGCAAGCAGGCAGUCGUGAAUUCAGUUCGAUCCCCA
rnacentral:tRNA from 1 species